GGUUUCCUUUGGGAGCAGAGGACAGGUGGUGCAUGGUUGUCGUCAGCUCGUGUGUGAGAUGUUGGGUUAAGUCCCGCAACGAGCGCAACCCUUGAUCUUAGUUGCCAUCAUUAAGUUGGGCACUCUAAGGUGACUGCCGGUGACAAACCGGAGGAAGGUGGGGAUGACGUCAAAUCAUCAUGCCCCUUAUGACCUGGGCUACACACGUGCUACAAUGGACGGUACAAAGAGCUGCAAGACCGCGAGGUGGAGCUAAUCUCAUAAAACCGUUCUCAGUUCGGAUUGUAGGCUGCAACUCGCCUACAUGAAGCUGGAAUCGCUAGUAAUCGCGGAUCAGCAUGCCGCGGUGAAUACGUUCCCGGGCCUUGUACACACCGCCCGUCACACCACGAGAGUUUGUAACACCCGAAGUCGGUGGGGUAACCUUUUUGGAGCCAGCCGCCUAAGGUGGGACAGAUGAUUGGGGGG
rnacentral:rRNA from 2 species